UUAGAUUUUGAUGCAUAGUAACCUUUUGUUCAAUAAAGGGUCCCCAUUUACACUAAAAGUGAGAUUGCUGUCUCCGUUACCACACUUAUUAUGAACCGACAUCUAUUGCGAUGUAUGUUGUGAAAUGCUCACUGCAGAUGACAUUGAAAUGUUGGAAAAUCAAGUAUCCUUUCGUUUCUUAUUUAUAAUAUUGAAAUCACAAAAAUGACAUUCUCUAACCAUUUUAUUUGAUUUUCCAGAAAACAUUGAACUGCAAGGAGGCAAACCAUAAUUACUCGUCAACAUCUAUUAAAACGGAUGCAUAAUUUCUAGCUAUUUCUGAAAAUAGAAAAGCAGAGGAACUGAAACGCGUGCCAUCCCGAGAUCAUCUUUCGUGAGUAGAGGGACCGAACAAAUCAAUCGCCAGAGCAUGGAAUCAACAUGCGACAGCCUUUUGCAUGUCUCCUCGUCACAAGUAAAAUGUUGCCAGGCCAGAAACCUUUUUAAUGUGCAGAAAUAGAACAAGAAAUAUUUCCAGCGACUACUUCAGUUUCUGACAAAUUCUCUACCAGCAAUCUGGGUGAUCGAGAAAUUUAUUUUCUCGGAAUGGUAUCGUAGAGAUAACGAAAGCAAGUUUUCUGAAGCCAUGCGGAGGCAAACUACAUAUAAUUUAUGUGGAAGCUUCUAUUAAGACAGAAGCGGGCUUUCCAGCUAUUUCUCAACAGAAGAAAGUUACCUGAAUGAUUCUGAAGCGAUAUCGGCAUGUUGCAAGAAUUUCGGUUUUGAUCUAUAGUCAUGAUCUUUUGCUGACUACAGGUUUAUCACUUAUCACCAGAAGAUACUGCUUUCUUGGCUCCACACAUGCUCUGAUCUGACAUCAACUAAGCUGGAUGCUAUGAAAUACUCACUACUGAUGACAAGGCAAAUUUCCAGUAAGCUGCAAGGAGACAAACCACAAUCAUCUGUAAAUAUCCAGCAAAACAGAAGCAGCAUAUCCAGUUAUUUCUCAAUAUGGGAAUCGUCGAAUUUGAAACGCUUGCCAUUCCGAGAUCAACUUCUGCAACUAUAGUGUCUGUAGAAAUCGGUCUAUUGAGAAUGAAUCUACCAUGUGACAGCCUUCUGCAAGUCCUCCUCACCACUAAAAUGUUGCUCUGCUAUAAGCCGCUUCACGUACAGUGACAGAACGUGAAAUGUUGGGUGUCUGUUAAGAAUACGCCUUCGUCGAUGUGAUCCUGGAAUAAGACAAUACCUGGACCCUUCAUCAAGCGCAUAUUGGAGUGCGGAUGCUGCACAGUUCAAUUACGGACGAAGACUAUAUUUGAAUUUUUAUAUUAUCAAUAUGUUCAGAAGCAAAUUUCAAACGGAACUAAUUGACUCAAUGGAAGAAACGGAUAUUAUAAAAACAGCGGUAUAACAAAUUUGUAACAAAACCUAGAUUUAAUUUUCGCAAAUAAUAAUAUAAAUUGCAUUUGAGAACAUAUUUGUUAUUACUAAAUUUGAUAAGAAUUGUUUGACAUGACAGAUUGCCACUAUACAACUUUAAAAAUCUUGGAUUUUCAUUACUGUAAUCUUUCUAUUAUAUCGGCAGAAUUUCUUUCCAUUUACAAACCAAUUUUAUAAAGAAAACUGAACCACUUCGUUGUAACUGAAGCCAUUUCUUGACCUUGUUUAUUUCUAAAUCUUCAUUUUGUGAUUUUGAAUGACGAUUAUAAAAGAAUCCUUCAUAUUCGAAUAGGUGUUUCAUUCCUGUAUCUAUAACGAAAUUUGGAUUUUGAUCUCUGUAAUGCUAG